AAUAUAAAAAAAAGCACAUUUCUGCUCCCCAGUGAUACUGCCUGUUUGCAAAUGACUCUGCAAGCAGGUGACAGCAGAGCCCCAAAGAACCACGGUAAGCAAAUGAAGAGGUACUGCUGUCCCUUCCCCAGGAAGAGCAGUGCGCACAGCAGGCAGCAGCCUACAGCUGAUGGCUCAGAGCAAGAAAGGAAGCUGUGUGCACUGCCUGCCUUGAGCUGCCUGCAUCAGGAGCUCCCCAGUGCAUUUCCCCGGGUAGAAGGGGAGAUGCUGGGUGCCAGCCAACCUGGGGCUGUGCCACAACCACAAAGUAGCAGCCCUUGCUUCUCAGCGCACACACACUGGCCAGCUGUGGCUCUGACAGCAGUGAAUCCCACAACAGAGUGCUCACUGGGCUUCCUGUGCUGGAAGAAUGCCUAAGAAAGUUGGAAAGCACAAACAUGGUACCAUAUCUUGGACAUACCCAGACCUGCUGAUCGUCGCUGCUUCUGGCUCCUCUUCAAGUAUUUCUGGAAACUUCUGAG